CGGCCGGGCCUCGCACGGUCGGUGCGUGAACCUGGUCAGGGCUUGACCGCAGCAGCCAUAAGCGUGGCCGGUCGGGGCGGGAUCACUCGGCCGCCA
rnacentral:SRP_RNA from 1 species